rnacentral:rRNA from 1 species
GAUGAACGCUGGCGGCGUGCCUAAUACAUGCAAGUAGAACGCUGAAGCUUGGUGCUUGCACCGAGCGGAUGAGUUGCGAACGGGUGAGUAACGCGUAGGUAACCUGCCUCUUAGCGGGGGAUAACUAUUGGAAACGAUAGCUAAUACCGCAUAAAAGUCGACAUUGCAUGAUGUUGACUUGAAAGGUGCAGUUGCAUCACUAAGAGAUGGACCUGCGUUGUAUUAGCUAGUUGGUGAGGUAGCGGCUCACCAAGGCAACGAUACAUAGCCGACCUGAGAGGGUGAUCGGCCACACUGGGACUGAGACACGGCCCAGACUCCUACGGGAGGCAGCAGUAGGGAAUCUUCGGCAAUGGGGGCAACCCUGACCGAGCAACGCCGCGUGAGUGAAGAAGGUUUUCGGAUCGUAAAGCUCUGUUGUAAGAGAAGAACGAGUGUGAGAGUGGAAAGUUCACACUGUGACGGUAACUUACCAGAAAGGGACGGCUAACUACGUGCCAGCAGCCGCGGUAAUACGUAGGUCCCGAGCGUUAUCCGGAUUUAUUGGGCGUAAAGCGAGCGCAGGCGGUUAGAUAAGUCUGAAGUUAAAGGCUGUGGCUUAACCAUAGUACGCUUUGGAAACUGUUUAACUUGAGUGCAGAAGGGGAGAGUGGAAUUCCAUGUGUAGCGGUGAAAUGCGUAGAUAUAUGGAGGAACACCGGUGGCGAAAGCGGCUCUCUGGUCUGUAACUGACGCUGAGGCUCGAAAGCGUGGGGAGCAAACAGG